GACGAACGCUGGCGGCGUGCUUAACACAUGCAAGUCGAACGGAAAGUCCCUGCUUUUGUGGGGUGCUCGAGUUGCGAGCGGGUGAGUAACACUUGAGUAACCUGCCCUUUACUUUGGGAUAACUUCAUGAAACUGGGGCUAAUACCGGAUAGGAGCUCCUGCUGCUUGGUGGGGGUUGGUAAGUUUCGGCGGUUGGGGAUGGACUCGCGUCUUAUCAGCUUGUUGGGUGGGUAGUGGCUUACCAAGGCUUUGCCGGGUAGCCGGCCUGAGAGGGUGACCGGACACAUUGGGAAUGAGAUACGGCACAGACUACUACGGGAGGGAGGAGUGGGGAAUAGUGUACAAGGGGCGGAAGCAUGAUGCAGUAAAGCAGCGUGGGGGAUGACGGCAUGGGGGUUGUAAACCGCUUUCGCCUGUGACGAAGCGUGAGUGACGGUAAUGGGAAAAGAAGCACCGGCUAACUACGUG
rnacentral:rRNA from 1 species